UGGUGAGUCAGUAUUCGACGCUUCUUGCUCCAUUGGCAGUUGAUGCGGUUCUUUCUGUAGUUGACCCUGCCAAGCCGGAUUUGGUGGACUUGAGGGAUAUUAAGAUAGUGAAGAAACUAGGAGGAACUGUGGAUGAUACUGAGAUGGUUAAAGGGCUGGUGUUUGACAAGAAAGCUAGUCAUGCCGCAGGUGGGCCAACAAGGGUGGAAAAUGCCAAGAUUGCUGUGAUUCAGUUUCAGAUUUCACCUCCAAAGACUGAUAUAGAGCAGAGCAU
rnacentral:misc_RNA from 1 species